ensembl:lncRNA
AUGCUUCUCCAUGUUGGUAUGUCAGCAGAGCAAUUUCCAGAGACUUUAAAUGAUUGUUUUUAUAACUUUCUCCAGGUGAACGGUUGUUUGCUAGGGAGAACAUCUGCUGCGGUCCUCACGCUCCAUCCCAGAGGUCAGUCUCCUGCAGUUAAUCCUAAUACAAGGCUGUACAGGAAGCACGGCUGGGAGGCCUCAGGAAACUUACAAUCAUGGAGGAAGGUAAAGGGGAAGCCAGCACGUCUUACAUGGUGGGAGCAGGAGGAAGAGAGAGUGAAGGAGGAGGUACUACACACUUUUAAACAAUCAGAUCUCGUGAGAACUCACUCAUUAUCAUGAGAACAGCAAAGGGGAGGUCCGCCCCCAUGAUUGAAUCACCUCCCACCAGGUUGCUCCUCCAACAUUAAAGAGCAUAACUUGACAUGAGAUUUGGGUGGGGACACAGAGCCAAACCAUAUCUGGUUCCUUCUCUGAACUUCAUUUCAUAUCAGGUCAGAAUUUACUGGUAAAUGAAUUACGAAACACCGUUUGGUUUUCUGUGUUUUUGUAGAUUUUGGAAUUAUACAUUCAAUGAGGCUUGGUGGACCUGUGCUGUCUCUCCAUUCAUUUUCUGAUAGGCACCCCAAAGUUAACAUGCUUACUGUGACCUUUGAUUUUAACUCUCCCCACCCUAACUUGUUGAUUUGCUGUUUUUCCCAUCUCAGCUAAUUUUAUCACCAUUCAUACAGUUAAUUUCUCAAGCACAGAUUCUAGCAGUUACUCUUCUUUUCCCUCAAUUUCUCUUUCUUCUUCUCCAAUGUCUAGCCCAUCAGUAGGUCAUUGGCUCUUCUUCAAACCAGAUCCCAAAAAUUCUCUGCAAGGGUCUUAUAGGGCCCAUCUUAUUAUACCCCAUCCAUAGCCCCAUUCAUGCAUUACACAGUGAUCACAAGGAUCUUUUAAAAUCCCUUUCCACUGAAACAGGUAUAUAGAAGAUAGUAUCAGUCUUCUGCUUAGUCCACUGAAAAUAGAUAAAAUCUAACAUUUCCAAGUCCUCUCAGAUCUUCAACACUGGCCCUGCCUACUCCUCUGACAUCAUCUCAUAUAAUUCCAUCUCUUAGUCCCCACACUUCAAUCCCACUGGUUUCCUUUCUGUUUUCCUACCAUGUGAAGUCUUCUUGCCUUGGGGGAAUUUGUGCCAGGGGCUCCUAAGACUGAAAUACCUUCCCCUAGAUAUUUGUAUGUUUGGCUGAAGGUUCCUUGCCUCUGCCCAUAAUCUGCUUAAAAAAUUACUUCCUCUCUCUUCUCAUUAUUCAUUCUGUCUCCAUCAGAUUUUAUUUUCUUCAUAGUACUUGUGGCUCUAGAAGUUAUAUUACUCAAUUGUUUACUUGUUCAUGAUUUCUCUGUGGACAUAAAUAUCCCUGUAAACUAAACACUCUUGAGAGCAUGGUGGGGAGGGAACUGGCUCGCUCUGUUCCUAAUGUCAGAUGCCUAACACAGUGACCUGCACAUAGUAGGUGCUAAACAAAUAUUUGUUGAAGAAAACAAUGAAUGAAUACAUCUCCCAUUAAGGGGGAAUGCCAUGAAACCCUAUAUGUGAAUGAUUCGGAACCCAGGCUUUGGCCUGGACAGAGCUGGGUUUGAACUGACCUCUGGCCAUGUGACCCUGGAAAGCUACUCAGUCUCUGCAAGCUUCCAUUUCCUCAUCUGGAAAUGAACUUCAUAGGUUGGUGGCAAAGAGGAGGUGAAUCUGUGUGAAGCCUAUUGCACCAUCUGGCAUGGUAUCCAUGAUCAAUCAAUGCCAACCACUGCUACAUUGCAGGGCACAGGGACACUUUGUGCUGUGAACAUGGCCACACCAGGCAUGGCUGGAUGAGCCCAGGUCAGCUCCCCUUACUAAAGUGAAUUGGCUUGGUGAGUGAGAGGCGGUUGAUCUGGGGAUACUGCCAUGACCCUCAACAUGCUUCCUGACACAAGUUUUGCAAGCCCUGUCUUGGUGAGUAAUGGGGAGCAGGAGAGCCGAAUGGAGGGUUGAGAAGGGGGAGGGCUGGGGUGGAGGUGGUAGGUUGGUGAGAGAGGUUGAGGGUGGGGGCUGUUGCCAGCAAAGGCGCAAUGUCUGGAAUCUGAUGUGCUGGGGACACCAGCCAUGCAGGAAAGUAAGGCUGGAUCCCAGAGCAGUCCCUGGGGAAGCAGAUGCAGCCAGAGGGAUACACAUUGACAAAGAGCUGAGUGACGUGUGGUGUCCAAGGGGCAGGUCCAGGUGAUGAACCAAGCAUCCUGCUGUGGACUGGAGCUGAAUUUAGGAUCUAGAACUCAGGAGAAUGAAACAAUUUAGGGGGGAAAAAAGCAAAUAUGGAGGCAGUGAACAAGUUCUGGACACCUUCAGGAUUGAGCUGUAUGGCAGUUGGCAGAGAGUUCUUCUUCCUGGGGGGCCCUUCCUGGCAUGGGGGUCGUCUGCUAGUUUAAAAGCCCAAGGCUAGAUGGACUGGUGGUGGGAAUGGGGUGCAUGUGAUAUGGUUGGGAUAGACUCAGGGACAUGGUAGGUUGAGCUGAUAAGGGUAGGUUGGGGGAUGAAGUGCCAGGGGAGGGUAGA